AGAACGAACGCUGGCGGCGUGCUUAACACAUGCAAGUCGAACGGGUCCAUAUUGAGUAGCAAUACUUAAUAUGAAUUAGUGGCGGACGGGUGAGUAACACGUAGGUAACCUACCCUUGAGCGGGGGACAACCCAGGGAAACUUGGGCUAAUACCCCAUAAGACCACGGGGUGUAAAUUCCGUGGUAAAAGUAGCGAUACGCUCAUGGACGGGCCUGCGGCCUAUCAGGUAGUCGGUGAGGUAAAGGCUCACCAAGCCGAAGACGGGUAGCCGGGCUGAGAGGUUGAACGGCCACACUGGAACUGAGACACGGUCCAGACUCCUACGGGAGGCAGCAGUGGGGAAUAUUGCACAAUGGGGGAAACCCUGAUGCAGCGACGCCGCGUGGAGGAUGAAGGUCUUCGGGUUGUAAACUCCUUUUAUUGGGAAAGAUGAUGACGGUACCCAAUGAAUAAGCCACGGCUAACUCUGUGCCAGCAGCCGCGGUAAGACAGAGGUGGCGAGCGUUGUUCGGAAUUACUGGGCUUAAAGGGCGAGUAGGCGGUGGGACAAGUCUGAUGUGGAAUCUUAGGGCUUAACCCUAAAACUGCAUUAGAAACUGUUUUACUUGAGUCAGUGAGGGGAGGGCGGAAUUCCCGGUGUAGCGGUGAAAUGCGUAGAUAUCGGGAGGAAGGCCGGUGGCGAAGGCGGCCCUCUGGCGCUGUACUGACGCUGAGGCGCGAAAGCGUGGGGAGCAAGCAGGGUUAGAUACCCUGGUAGUCCACGCCCUAAACGGUGGGCAUUAGGUGUAGGGCUCGCAAGGGUUCUGUGCCGAAGGGAAACCAUUAAAUGCCCCGCCUGGGGAGUACGGCCGCAAGGUUGAAACUCAAAUGAAUUGACGG
rnacentral:rRNA from 1 species